rnacentral:tRNA from 1 species
UUGUCCAUAACUUAGUCAGGUAGAGUAGUUGCCUUCUAAGCAAUAAGUAUGGGUUCAAAUCCCAUUGGACAAA